rnacentral:lncRNA from 1 species
GGGUGAAUAGAUUACUUGUCAAGAUAAAAUUUCUAGCCUAACCUAAUUUCUAGGAGGGCAGAAAUCUAGCAAUUCUAACAAGUUUAGGCAACCUACACAAGCAGUUCUAAGAGUAUAGCAGCGAAAAGUAAAACAUGCAAGUGUAAUGUAGAGGAGUAAGGUAGGGAGAUCAAACGCAUCAGGUUGACACGGCAAUUUUUGGCAUGGUUCCGAUAGGUGGCGCUAUUGUACAUCCAUGUUAGUGGAGACUUCAACCCACGGAGGGUAACGGCUACGAGAGUCCACGGAGGGCUCCACCCACGGAGGGUCCACAAAGAAGCGGCCUUGACUAUCCCACAACGGCUUUCGUCCACGGAGGACUAGCCUUACUCACGGUAGAUCUUCACAAAGUACGCGGUCUCCUUGUCCUUACAAACAUCUUGGUUCAACUCCACAACACGAAGGUGGAAGCUCCCAAGCAACACCUAACCAAUCUCGGAGGCACCACCCUCCAAAAGGUAAUAUAUGGGGUAGAUCAAUGAACUCUUUGCUCUUGUGCUUCUAAAGAUAGUCUCCUCAACACAAAUCUCUCUCACACAGAAUAUGCAUGGGUAGGAGAGGUUUAUUUCGUGGAAAGCGGUUUGGGAAUGCUAGAGAUCAAGUUUCAAAUGAUAGGAUUGGAAUAUCUUGAUCUCAACACAUGAAUAGGUGGUUCUCUCUCGAAAAAUGGAUCUGGAAAUGAAGUAUGUGUCCUGAGUGCUUCUCCCACGAAUGAGAGGUGGGUGAAGGGGUAUAUAUAGGGAGCAACCAAAAUCCAACCAUUACACACAAAAGAGCAAACUCGGUGACACCAAAGUUGGAAACUCGGUGGUACCGAUUAGCACUAAAGGUGGCAACUUUUGAAUCUUGGUGAAACCGAUAUAUGAAUCUCGGUGGUACCAAUAUUGGUGUCCUAGGCAGUUUCCAAAAUUCGGUGAAACCAAUUCUCAAAACUCAAUGGUAACAAUUCUUGAAAACGCCUAACC